CCCCCCCCCCCCCUGUCCCUGUCCUCCUCAGUAACGAAUGGACGGCACGAGCUCGUACCCAAAGACGUCAGGGAGGAAGCUGAGAAAUACGCCAAGGACUCUCUGGAAGAGGAGGACGACUCCGAUGAGGACAACAUGUAGACUCGUCUCUCAUCAUCUUCUUUUCUAUGUUUUCUAGUUGAAUGUUUUCUUUUCUCUGAUUUCAGCUUUAAGAAUAAAAAGUUGAAGUUGA